rnacentral:rRNA from 1 species
UACGUAGGGGGCAAGCGUUGUCCGGAAUCAUUGGGCGUAAAGAGCGCGUAGGCGGUCCGGUAAGUCCGCUCUGAAAGUCCGGGGCUCAACCCCGGGAGGCGGGCGGAUACUGUCGGGCUAGAGUCCGGAAGAGGCGAGUGGAAUUCCUGGUGUAGCGGUGAAAUGCGCAGAUAUCGGGAGGAACACCGGUGGCGAAGGCGGCCUUCUGGACGGAUACUGACGCUGAGACACGAAAGCGUGGGUAGCAAACAGG